CGUCACUGCCUCAGUAUCUCGUCUGUUUGGAGAGCUCUGACUCUGCAUGCAGCUAGUCUCUUGGGCCUACGGUUCAUAUCACAGACAAAAAAAACCUUGAUAACUGGGAAUGCCAGUUGUACUCUGAGCAGAGGAACGUUUGUGCUUGGCCUGCCUGUGCUUUGGAAGCAGCAGAGUCCUGUUUGCGGGUUGCUGGCUCCUUGGUGUGGAUUUGGGGCACCUGAACGUUCUCCCUGUGUCUGCCCUCAGAUCCGUGAAGUUCCUCCCUGAGCAUCGUUUCACAUUUUCAGUGCAUUUCGGAGAUCUUCAAAAGGUCAGUGUCUGCACAAGAUCUAUCCUGAUAUACUUGUUAACAGGUGGAAUCUAGUAAGUAAUGCAA
rnacentral:lncRNA from 1 species